rnacentral:snRNA from 1 species
GUGCUCACUUCAAUAGCACAUAUACUAAAAUUAGAAUGAUACAGAGAAGAUUAGCAUGGCCCCUGUAUAAGGAUGACACACAAAUUCGUGAAGCGUUCCAUAUUUUU